UGCACAACAGCUUUGCAAUUUUUAACUAAAUAAAUUAAAUAUUUUUGUUAUGAUUAAAAAUAAAUACUGAUACUGAAGCAUUGGAUGACAAGUAUUUCAGUUUCAUUCCCUAUCAUGAAUUUUUUUAUCACAUACAAAAAGAAAUUAUGAUAUUGUCGUAACUCCAAUGCGAUAAAAGCCAACCAAUGUUCAUUGAAAAUUAUUUUUCAAUCAUAAGUGAUUUCAUAUUAAUGUUAUAAAUAUCUAACAUUAAUAAAAUCAGAUUUCUAAUGAUUUCGUUUAUAUUUACUGUCCUCUAUUUUAAUAUAAUUUCAGUUUAUUCAUUUCAGUUUUAGUUUUGCUUUCGGUUUCAAGUCUUGCUGCUGUUUCUGUAACCUAAAUUUUAAAUACAUAAACAAUCUACGCGCCAUGUGAAUGGCUUUAAGUGCCAAAUUUAUUGCCAGCUGAAAUGACUUUUGAUGCAUUCAUGCAUGUUUUUACUGUAGAUAUCCAAAUAGUUUAGAUAAUAAUGCUUGGAAUAAUUAUGCUAUUAUUCUGUGCUCUGCCCAAUGGAAAAUCAAAAUCAAUCGAGAAUAUAUCUUUGAAAAACAACAGCGUUUAUCAAAUAACUGAAACAAAACAACUUAAAACUACCGAACAUAACUUAAAUAUUAAAUCUGAUAUGAACAUAACGUUAAAAAAUGUGCAGAAUAUUAAUUUAAAAAAUGAUACCAAAAAAAUUGUGAAAGUUUUAAAUGAUAUGACGAUUAGCAAACACAUAGCAGCAAUGAAUGAAACACAACAAGCUCACAUAUUAUAUAAAAUCCAUGCCACAAUCACAAGAUCAAAAGAUGCCAUCUGGGCGACAAUUACAUUGACUUUUAUGUGUGUUUUAUUAGUUCUAGCUGUUGCCCAAUCUAAAAUGUGGAAAGAUUAUAAUGGCUCUGAAUCUCAAGGAGUACCGUUACCUAAUUUUAAUGAAAGAGUUCUAUUUAAAGAUGUAAUGGAGCGAAGAAUGAUUUCGUUAAAAGAAAUGUUCAAGAAAAAGAAGAAAUCAGUAUCAGAAUUAGAGUCGCUGUUGCCAACCACAGAAUGGGAAUGAUUAAAUAUUUGAUGGAGUGAUUUCCUUAUAUUCUAUAUUAAUUUUAUCAAAAUAAUGCUGGGAUAGAAAUUUAUAUUAGAAAUAAUUUUUUGUUAAAAAUUACUUUUAUGUCUUUCAAUUAAAGUAGGCAGCUUCUCUGUUAAAAUUGACAAAUUUAAAAUUAUUAAUAUUGAAUUAAAAUAAUUAUUUAAUGGUUGAGUAUAUGUUUUGUGAUGGUAAAAGAUAGAAACACCAAAUAUAUGUAAAUGUUCACUAAACUAAGUGCUCAAUUUAAAUUUAUAUGUUACUCCAAGAAUCUUAAAAAUCAUGGAAUUGAAAAAACAUACUUUUAAUCCUCCAAGCUCUACUUCAGGGUAAGUUUGUAUGGAAUUUUAUCUUUUAUACUCGUUUUUAAUUAAUUAACAUAAGAUUAGCCUGUUUUUCUGAAAAACAAGCUGAAGCUUGGAGGGUUAAAUAUUUUUUAUUAAUUAUAGUACUUGGAAUGAUCGAGCUUAUAUUUUUUUGUUGUACAAUUGUUGUUAUGAAAGGUUAGAGCACUAUAUUUGGAAGUGAAGAGUACUUAAAAUAAGUCUGUGUUAAUAUUUUCAAUUUAUAAAUGAAAUAAAUCUUUGCCAUAAUUGAAUGCAAAAACAUGAAUGAAGUUCUUAAAAUUGCAGGCUGAUAUUUGUAUCUACUUUAAUGUGUAAAAUAUAUAAAAAUCAGGUAUUCUUUAAAUUGUAUAGGCCUGAGAUCAUGAACUUUGUGCAAUUAGUAGGUCACGUUUAUAAGGACAAAAAAACAAGGUCACACAUAAUGUUAUAUAUAUUACGUUAAUUUUUAUUUGCAAUUUAAAAAGAAAUUACUGUAAUAAGUACAAUUGUAAAUAAUGAAUAAAUGUUUAAUUUUAGUUUUCUAAUUUUCAAAAAAUAAAUAUAUACGUAAUCUUUUAUUUUAUAUGUAAAACAUUAAUUUGUUUUCAUGUGAUGUAUAAAAGAUAUUUAAAAUUAAUUGUCUAAAUUGCCACAUAAAUGACUUAGAAUAUGACUUUUUUUCUACUGCUGAGGGCUUUAUCAUUUCGUUUUAACGUCUGGAUUAUUGCAUCUGUUGAGUCACUACACUAGUUUAACAAUAUAUUAUCUUCUGACACUUAUCAACAUAUACAAUAUCAAGCACCAUAUCUAACUAUAUAUUAUCUAACUAUCAAUUUCUAUCCAAAUACGGCUAUAACACAUUCUCUUUUAAAAGUAAAUUGUUUAACAAAAUAUUCACUUGAAAUUUAUCAAACUCAAAUUAUGAAAUGAAUCUUACACAAUGAAUAUUUGAUGAAUUGUUUAAAUUUUUAGCUUAUAUAUUCGUUUAUUGUUUUGUUGCAAUAUAUUCGUUUAUUGUUUAGCAUUUACCAGCAAUAAGCCAUCAAUAGCUUUCUAAUCAAUAAACUGAACAGAUAUUAGGCACUUCUUAUGCUUAUUUCUGUGUUGAAAAUACUAUCAAUUCUGUAUAAGUUCAAUAACUAAACAUUCCUCUGAGAUUCAUCUUUAUUUAAAUAAAAGUUCCAUAGUCCCAAGGUGCUCAUGUGAUCUUCAUUUCACCGCCUUUUAUUUUUGUACCAGACUUAAUUUAUAACACUGAUAUAUAAUAAUCUAGUAUGUGUAUGGUAAAAAUUGCCACUUCCAGGUCUUAUACCAUCAUCUACAUUCAACCAACCAAUAAAUUUAUCAAUUUGAUCAUAGAAUCUAUUCAUCUCGAACAAAAUUUUAAAAAUAAAAACAUUUUGAAAAUAUUUCUAUUUUAUUACCCCCUCACAAAUUAGGCUACUAAAUUUCACCAUGCUUACUUCACUAUGCAGCAUUCAUUGUUUUUCCAGCAACACGGCACUUCUAUUCUAUUUAAAUCACCUUGUAGAAUCGUGAAAUAAAACAAAAUUAAAUUCAUAAUAUUCUUAGUUUUAAUCUGUGGAAAUAUUUGGCAAGUCGUACAAAAUCAUCAAAGCUGGUUACUGGUUUAAGCUAAUUGUUUAGAAUAUUUGAGUAAAGUAGGAGUUAUUUUAAUAUGAUAUAUAUAUAUAUAUUUUGUACAAUGUCUAUGUAAUUAUUAGUUACUGUAUAGAAUAGAAAAUUACAUUUAAGUAAAAUAGGUAUUUAGGAUUAUCUUGAAGCUAGACAUUCUAUCUAAACAAUGCCUAAAUGUAAACUUGUGUAUUUUUAUUGUAUUUAAGUAUUUUUAGACACUGUAUUGAAAGAUGUAAUAUAAAUAAUUUUAUUAUUUCUAUGUAAUUUGUGAUAAACAUUUUACAUGCUCCUAGGGAUACAUGCAAAUCAAGUGUUGCGUAAUCAGUUAGAACAAUACUUAAAAUGCCAAAUAUUGAAGCUUUCUACGUGUUACUAGUGGUGAGAUUCAACAAGUAUAUAUCAGUAUCUUAGCUGCCAUUUUUUAUAAUUUCUUAAGGUUCUUAGUAGUGGUAGCCAUUUAACUAUUGAUUUUAUAUAUAGUUAGCAAGAAUUGUUUUAACUAUGUGAAUAUUCUAUAUUUUCAAAGAAUAUUAUUAGAACUUUAGGGAGAAUAUUGUUAGAAAUCAUAUAAUUUUUAAAGUUAUUUAUAUGUAGUGGUGUUCAAAAUCAUUAUUAAUCAAAUUUUAUUAUACAGAUAUAAAAAAUACUAACAUAUAGAUUUUGUAACCAAUAUACAAUUCGAAUUUUACGCAUUAUAAUAUUUAAACUUUUAGUCUUUUAAUUUGCUACAAAAAGAGAGCAUUUCUAAGGUUAUUUGUCAACUGUUUGUUUCCAAAUACACUCAGAAACUUUUUAAAAACUGUAAAAAUACUAAAAUAUUGUCACUUAGUACAUCCAUCUACCGUGAUGUGCGGAAUUUAAAGACUUGUCAAAAUAAAAACAUGCUGUUUAGUAAAAUAAAACUACAGUGGAACUCCGGUUUUACGUUGUCCAUUUGGUACGUUAUCCCUCUUUCUGCGUCAUUUCAUGCCUAUACCAGUAAUGUUAAAUUAUCUCAGAUUUUAUAUUACCUUUUUUACGAAAAUCCCGCCUUAAAUGUUUUUCUAACAAAUCAAAAAAAAAAAUUUCCUCACAAGCUUUUUCUGAGAUUUUUUUUUCUAAAGAGACUUGUCUGUCAUCUUUCUGUAACUCUGACAUUCUUUCUGUUCUAUGUUAUUGAACUUUCGUCUGUGAGAGAAGAUUGACUGGAUCAGCAAAGUACGGGAAGGGAAGUAUGGAAUCUUAAAUUUUAAAAUUUGCGAGUGGAAUUUUUUUCUCUGCCAACUUCAAUGUUUGAAUCUUCAAAUUAUCUAAUCAUUUAAAAAACAUUACACUAAAAAACUGGUUAGGUAAUCAUUUUGUUUUCUUGAUUCCAGUGACCUGCAAGAUGCUUCUAAAGCAAAAAUGGAUGUCAUAGAAGCUCUGAAUUCGAUUUCUCUAGUAGUUCAACUUUUGAAUUAUCCGCUUAAUUUUUUUUACCCAGAUUUUACGUUAUCCCGCUUUGUGCUUUUUAUUAACGCUAGGCCUACUGAAAACAGAAAAUCGGGGUUCCACUGUAUAAUCUUUUAUUGACAAAUCUAUGUUGUUGUUUUUUUAAUGUUAUUUAUAAUCUUUUUCCACUAAGUUCUUCCUAUAUUUUAAAUUACAUAGUUUUUCCUAAACUAAUUCCUUACUACUUUCUUACAUAGUAAAAAGGAAAUGUGUUUUUUUCUUAAUGCAUUAUUAAAAUGUUAAUUAUAGAAGUUAUUAAUCAAAUCAACCUUUUCUUCAUUAAAACUAUUUGUAUAUCCAUUAUAGUACAUAUGCUAUCUGUCUCAUAGAAAAGUAAAUAUUCUAAGAUUAUUUUCAGAAAUGUAUGCAAUCUACUUUAUUUUUAUAGAAUAAAAUAUGGAUUGCAAAAGGCAUUGAAAUUUUGCCUGGAGGUUUUUGCUUUUGCAAGGUCUCUAAUUCAUGGCUACAUAAGGAUAGUUUUAGUCACUCACAAAUGAAGCUAUUAAGACUACCGUUAUAAAAGUAAACGUAAGUAAUUAGACAUGUCCACCUUACCAUCGCAUCUUUAAUGUACUGGCAUGGUGGGCAUAUGAGGUACUUUUUUUUCAUUGGGUACUUUAUUUGGAUACCUUAAAACUGGAUGACAGUAUUUAGGAGUCUGGAUAUUGUUUAAGUUUUUGAAAAAAAAAAACUUUAUUUUUUUUUUGGGGGGGGGGGAUAUAUACCCUCCUCAUUUGUUUUUGUUUAUAUUUUGAAAAUUUGAAUUCCAUUAAUGCAUAUUACUUAACGUCAUUGUUGUUGAAUUAUUACUUAAGUGUGUAUAAGUUGUAUUUUUUGUUAUUUAUGCAUUUUUAAAAUGAAUUAUUACAUAACAGUUGUAAAAUGAAUUUAUGAUUAGGAUGGAGCUUCAGUUUUAAAUGUGUGUAUAAUUUUUUAUUUAAAAAUUUUUCUUAAUUUUUUAAAUGUACAGUGUGCAUUCUCUCAAAAAACCUGAAUAACUUUUGAUUUAAUAAUUGUAUUUUCACAUACUAACUUGCAGUCUUAUUGAUUCUAAAAGUAGUAAUAAGCAUAAAAGAUAUUUUAAGUUACAAAAUUAAAUAUGAAAACACAUUUUCCCAAAAUAAAUAUACUAGUUUUUCCCCCAACUGAUUAUUAUUUACGAUUCCUAAAAUGAAGAUAUUUGCAAUCUGGAAAAUAUACUCCCAGCAAUUUAUUAAGAGGUAUGGAAAUGAGAACCUUAAUUUUAAAUAUACUUAAAAAAAUACUGAAACUAUUUUAAUUUUUUUUUAACUAUAAAUUUUUUUAAACUAUAAAUGACAACAAACGAAGUUGGUUAAACAGUUUGUGAGCAAUAAAACUUUAAAAAAAGAAUGAAGUUAUUAAUAAUUCAACCAAAUUAUUGAUUUCGUCAUUUAAAGUAUAUUUUGAACAAUAUUAAACUGAAUAAUACAAAAGUAUUUUUUUACGAGAUAACAUUUAGAUAAACAAGUUUUAUAAUUUUGUGGAAAUUUUUUUUUAGUUGUUUUAGGUAUAUAAUAAAUUUAAAAAAAAUUUAUAUAAAGGGGCUUUAACUCUCAAGUGCCCUUCUAUGAUUUGAACUAACCUGUUAAAAUCAUAUUUUCCAGUUUGUCGCUAUAACUUAUAUUUUUAGGAACCAACAUUUUUCAAAGGAAGUAUGUUUUGUAUUGUAUUUUGUAAUUUAAAAUAUUGCUUUCUCAAAAUAAUUUUCAUAUUUCAGAUAUAUCCUUUAACUAUUAAUAUUACAUCAUAAAACCUUGAUCAUCCAAUUAAAAGUUAUUUCUGGUGGGAUUUUUUGUGCACUGUAUAUAGUUUUAUGAGCUUUUUUGUUUUUAGAUUUCUGCUAUCAUGUUUGUUUUGAUAUGCUUUAUUUCUUAAAUUGUUGAUCUAGAAAGGCAAUUUUACAUAAAAACUUUCCCACAAGUAAAGUAUUCCCAAUGAAUAAUAAUAAGAAAAAAAAAUUACUAAUUUGUUUUGUGGGAAAGCAACAAGAUUUUAAUCUUUAUUGACUUACUCAGUUCUAGGUGUGACAAUUUAAGGUUUAAAAGUAACAAAUAUCUCAAGAUUUCAAGCAUGUGUUCAUUAAAAUUUGACAACAUUCUUUUGUAAAACCAUUUUAUUUUUAUUUACUUUUAUAAGCUUCUAUAUUCCAUUUAAUAAAAAGCUGUGUAAUCUAUCUCUUAAUAUGGAAAGAAAAUUAUUUUAUAUGCUGAUUUUAGAAAUAUUUGGCUGCUUGUAUUUUUUAUACAUUUAUACUAAUUGUACAUAUUUGAACAAUAAAUCUAAACUAAAGAAUCAGAAAUUUUUCUACAUUUUGUAUUAGAUUUGUAUGUUGUUGCUACAUAGAUUUGUUAUAAAGUAUUAAUAUAAUGCAUUAAAAUGAGUUAUAUAUUGCAAAUAAAUUAUUAUUUACAAUCUUGUUA